UCCCCGGUAGCUCAGUUGGUAGAGCAGCGGACUGUUAAUCCGCCUGUCGCUGGUUCGAGCCCGGCCCGGGGAGCCA
rnacentral:tRNA from 2 species